ACAAGGACCUCCGCCUCUGGCAACUGCUUGACGCAGUUGGACAGCUGGGGAGGGAAACAUGGGCGCCUGGGGGAUGGUCACGAGAGUGGCAGGAACCGGGAUGCACACAUUUAGACAGGAGAGUGAUUGUAAUAUUAAUUUAAUGGAGGGUGAGUAUAUUUGUAUUUGUAUGGAAACAUACUACAUAUAUGUAUACCCAUGCCCAAAAUAAACAUCAAAA
rnacentral:misc_RNA from 1 species